UACGGGGGGGCAAGGCGUUGUUCGGAAUUACUGGGCGUAAAGGGCUUGUAGGUGGCCAACUAAGUCAGACGUGAAAUCCCUCGGCUUAACCGGGGAACUGCGUCUGAUACUGGAUGGCUUGAGUGUGGGAGAGGGAUGCGGAAUUCCAGGUGUAGCGGUGAAAUGCGUAGAGACCGGGAAGAACACCGGUGGCGAAGGCGGGUCACUGGGCCGUAACUGACGGCUGAGGAGCGAAAGCGUGGGGAGCGAACAGG
rnacentral:rRNA from 1 species